UACGUAGGGGGCAAGCGUUGUCCGGAAUCAUUGGGCGUAAAGAGCGCGUAGGCAGUCGUUCAAGUCGCGUGUGAAAGCCCCCGGCUCAACUGGGGAGGGUCACGCGAUACUGAUCGACUGGAAGGCAGGAGAGGGUAGUGGAAUUCCCGGUGUAGUGGUGAAAUGCGUAGAUAUCGGGAGGAACAUCCAUGGCGAAGGCAGCUACCUGGACCAACACUGACACUGAGGCACGAAAGCGUGGGGAGCAAACAGG
rnacentral:rRNA from 1 species